rnacentral:rRNA from 1 species
CAGGCCGGAUGGCCCUACCAAUUGCAAGUCGAAGCGGAUGAAGGGAGCUUGCUCCUGGAUUCAGCGGCGGACGGGUGAGUAAUGCCUAGGAAUCUGCCUGGUAGUGGGGGAUAACGUCCGGAAACGGGCGCUAAUACCGCAUACGUCCUGAGGGAGAAAGUGGGGGAUCUUCGGACCUCACGCUAUCAGAUGAGCCUAGGUCGGAUUAGCUAGUUGGUGGGGUAAAGGCCUACCAAGGCGACGAUCCGUAACUGGUCUGAGAGGAUGAUCAGUCACACUGGAACUGAGACACGGUCCAGACUCCUACGGGAGGCAGCAGUGGGGAAUAUUGGACAAUGGGCGAAAGCCUGAUCCAGCCAUGCCGCGUGUGUGAAGAAGGUCUUCGGAUUGUAAAGCACUUUAAGUUGGGAGGAAGGGCAGUAAGUUAAUACCUUGCUGUUUUGACGUUACCAACAGAAUAAGCACCGGCUAACUUCGUGCCAGCAGCCGCGGUAAUACGAAGGGUGCAAGCGUUAAUCGGAAUUACUGGGCGUAAAGCGCGCGUAGGUGGUUCAGCAAGUUGGAUGUGAAAUCCCCGGGCUCAACCUGGGAACUGCAUCCAAAACUACUGAGCUAGAGUACGGUAGAGGGUGGUGGAAUUUCCUGUGUAGCGGUGAAAUGCGUAGAUAUAGGAAGGAACACCAGUGGCGAAGGCGACCACCCUGGACUGAUACUGACACUGAGGUGCGAAAGCGUGGGGGAGCAAACAGGAUUAGAUACCCUGGUAGUCCACGCCGUAAAACGAUGUCCAACUAGUCGUUGGGGAUCCUUUGAGAUUCUUAGUGGGCGCAAGCUAAACGCGAUAAGUCGACCGCCUGGGGGAGUAACGGGCCGCAAGGUUAAAACUUCAAAUGAAAUUUGACGGGGGGCCCCGCACAAAGCGGUG